rnacentral:lncRNA from 1 species
AGUGCUGGGAUUACAAGCGUGAGCCACCGCGCCCGGCAGUAUCCAAUGUCUUGACAGGUGGAAUAGGUCUGUGGAGAGUGACAGGCGCAGAUGGUUUGCUGUGAAGACAUGGAUGGAACCCCCUACAAAAUGGAGGUCCAAGCUAUCUACAUUUAUAUCAUCAUCGUCCAUUGUUCUUGUCUACAGGGUGAGCACAACAUUUUACCCCCGUGCCUGACAGACAGGCCAACCUGAACAGAAGCCUUCCCAGGCACCAGAGCAGAAGGGAAAAUUUGUACACAGUUGCGAAGAACUUCACACUAUUCCAUCCCCUCUACUGCCACAGGAUCUACUUUUAGGUACUAAGAAAAGAAAAAAGACAUCAGUUUGAAAAGUGCCCCCAUCAGAGCAACAUGAAUUCUGCUAAAAUUGAAGCAAUAACAAACAUCAACAUUUUUUUUUUUUGAGGCGGUGCCUUGCUCUGUCAUCCAGGCUUGAGUGCAGUGGUGCAAUCAUGGCUCACUACAACCUUCGCCUCCCAAGUUGAAGAGAUUCUCCUGCCUCAGCCUCCCGAGUAGCUGGGAUUACAGGCACUUGCCACCACGCCCAGCCAAUUUUUUGUAUUUUUAGUAGAGACAGGGUUUCACUAGGUUGGCAAGGCUGGUCUCGAACUCCUGACCUCAGGUGAUCCACCUGUCUCGGCCACCCAAAGUGCUGGAAUUACAGGUGUGAACCACCACACCCAGCCAAACAUCAGAUUUAUGAUGAAGCUUUGGUGGAGGAAGGUGAAAUCACUGAUGCUUUAUGAAAAGUUUAUGAGAAAAAUGCCUCAAAUAAAUCAGCAGUAUACAAAUGGACAACUUAUUUUAAGAAAGGGUAAGACAAUGUUGAAGGUGAGGCCUGCAGCAGCAGAUUAUCUAUAUCAAUUUUCGAGGAAAAAAUUCACUUUGUGCCCCAACUGAAGAGAACUGGCAAUUAACAGCCCAAACAAUAGCCAACAUCAUAGACAUCUAAUUGGUUUGGCUUACACAAUUCUGACUGAAAAAGUUCAGCAAAUUUUCCCAUGAAUGGAUGCUAAAACCACCGCGCCCGGCCUCCUGACUUCUUAUUUUGUAAUCUGUAAUCUUAAAAAAAAAAUUUAAAGGGCACCCAUUUUUCUUCAGUUAAUAACACAAAAAAGACUGCAUUGACAUGGUUUAAUUCCCAGGACCCUCGGCCCUUUAAGGAUAGACUAAAUGCAUAUCAUAGCUUUACAAAAAUGUCUUGCCCUUGAUAGAGCUUAUACUGAGAAAUGAGGUUUAUAUUUUUUAUCUUAAUCUUUUGAUUCCAUUUUCCAGUAAGUUUUUAAAGUCCCCUCGUAUACCUAGAAGCGAAAUUACUGGGUCAUAUGGUAACUCUAUGUUUAAAUUCUUUUGUUGUGAUAAAGUAUAUGUAACCUAAGACAUGUCAUUUUAAACAUUUUUAAGUGUA